UCACCUCAAGUUUUAACCCUAAGCCCACCUCCACCUCUUUUUUUUUUCCCACCUCCACCUCAGGUUUUAACCACAAGCCCACGCAAAAAGCUCCUCGUGUAGUUUCAGCUCCUGGGGCCGUCUACACAAGGGAGCGCUGCCAGGGAAGGGACGACGUGAGGCGAGCACUGGAACCAGUCUCAGCUGUGACCAGGCACCGAUGACAGCAGGACCAGACCGUGUCCUAAUCCGGGGAGAAACUGAGAAGGGCACUUUCUGGGGAGGCAGCAUGCCAUUCGGUUCUGUUUGGGCAAUGCGCCAUGAAGGAAAAGAGUGAGCACUGUUUCUGAUGACACUCGAUACUCCCAGUAACGGUACAUCGCAUACCUGGUGCUCGGAGAUGCCAAAGCUGAUCUUCUCCAACUUCAUUCUGAAAUGUAAUCUACAGCCAGAC
rnacentral:lncRNA from 1 species